CCAGAGGACGGAUUAGGACCGCGGGGACUCUCUCCUUGUCCCGCAGCGCUUUACCCAAAUCUACUCUGCCUUUCCCUCCACACACACGGAGCUUCAGGACGCGCCAUCAUGACACAUGUAGGCCCAAUGUAAUACGACUUCGAAAGCAUAACAUGUACAAAGAAACGACACCAUCAAACCGACCAGGCGUGAUAGGAAGUUGCCACCUACACGGACUCAGGAGCCAAAGCCGUCCAGCGACAUAUAAAAAAACUAGACAUUCUAAACCUGAACAGGUCACAGAAAUGUGGGGAGAGGGCGAUGGCGACGACAGAGGGACAGAGGAGGGACCACACAAGGACAAACCCCGACUAGUGGGGACACAAUUCAACUCCAUGGUCAAUGGGAGGCUUUAGCCGUACUAUCUCUUGGAUCAAUUCAAGGGAAACGACUGAUAUCAGUCUCUCGUUGAACUCCCAAGGACAGAGUGCCACAAAACGAGUAAAAUGACAUCAGCGAUGGAGAGUGGACAACCGCAAGAACCGAACUAACCUUGUGUUGGAAUAUGGGUUAUAAUCAUGUUGAUUUAGCUCAAAAUUGGCGAGCAAAUAACUUCACAAGGCAAAAUCUACAUUUUAAAAAUUGUCGCCAUGGACCUUUGGCUUAGCCUAUGUAAGUAAUGUUGCAAUGGCUAUAGCUUAAUAAAUUGUGAA